rnacentral:rRNA from 1 species
UGUAGUCAUAUGCUUGUCUCAAAGAUUAAGCCAUGCAUGUCUAAGUAUAAGCAAUUUGUACUGUGAAACUGCGAAUGGCUCAUUAAAUCAGUUAUCGUUUAUUUGAUAGUACCUUACUACAUGGAUACCUGUGGUAAUUCUAGAGCUAAUACAUGCUAAAAACCUCGACUUCGGAAGGGGUGUAUUUAUUAGAUAAAAAACCAACGCCCUUCGGGGCUCCUUGGUGAAUCAUAAUAACUAAGCGAAUCGCAUGGCCUUGCGCCGGCGAUGGUUCAUUCAAAUUUCUGCCCUAUCAACUUUCGAUGGUAAGAUAGUGGCUUACCAUGGUGGCAACGGGUAACGGGGAAUUAGGGUUCGAUUCCGGAGAGGGAGCCUGAGAAACGGCUACCACAUCCAAGGAAGGCAGCAGGCGCGCAAAUUACCCAAUCCCGACACGGGGAGGUAGUGACAAUAAAUACUGAUACGGGGCUCUUUUGGGUCUCGUAAUUGGAAUGAGUACAAUCUAAAUCCCUUAACGAGGAACAAUUGGAGGGCAAGUCUGGUGCCAGCAGCCGCGGUAAUUCCAGCUCCAAUAGCGUAUAUUAAAGUUGUUGCAGUUAAAAAGCUCGUAGUUGAACCUUGGGUCUGGCUGACCGGUCCGCCUCACCGCGAGUACUGGCUCGGCUGGACCUUUCCUUCUGGGGAACCUCAUGGCCUUCACUGGCUGUGGGGGGAACCAGGACUUUUACUGUGAAAAAAUUAGAGUGUUCAAAGCAGGCCUUUGCUCGAAUACAUUAGCAUGGAAUAAUAGAAUAGGACGUGCGGUUCUAUUUUGUUGGUUUCUAGGACCGCCGUAAUGAUUAAUAGGGAUAGUCGGGGGCGUCAGUAUUCAGCUGUCAGAGGUGAAAUUCUUGGAUUUGCUGAAGACUAACUACUGCGAAAGCAUUCGCCAAGGAUGUUUUCAUUAAUCAGGGAACGAAAGUUAGGGGAUCGAAGACGAUCAGAUACCGUCGUAGUCUUAACCAUAAACUAUGCCGACUAGGGAUCA